GUCGGGAUAGCUCAACUGGUAAAGCAAAGGACUGAAAAUCCUCGUGUCACAUUUUAAAU
rnacentral:tRNA from 1 species